GCCCGGCUAACUCAAUUGGUCAGAGUGCCAGACUUUUAAUCUGGAGGCUCAGGGUUCGAGUCCCUGGUCGGGCG
rnacentral:tRNA from 2 species